CUUUGCAGCCAUCUCACAUGGAGCUGUGAGCUCAUUCGAUUUUACCAGCUAAGCAGGGUUGGGCUUGAUCAGUACUCGAAUAGGAGACCACCACAGAAAUCAUAGAAUAUUAGGGU
ensembl:rRNA 5S_rRNA 5S ribosomal RNA